AGAUGUGAGGGCGAUGUGGCUUCAACAUCUGUCACUCCAUUGAUUGCCAGGGUUGAUUCCGCUGAUCUGGCUGGCUAGGCGGGUGUCCCCUUCCUCCCUCACCGCUCCAUGUGCAUCCCUCCCGAAGCUGCAUUCUCAGUCAAAGAGGAUGGCCUUCCCUGAGUAGAGACAGAGACAGACCGGUCUUCAGUCCAGUAUAAGAGUAUAGAAGUGGCUGUGCUCCCCUGCUAGCACCUCCAAACAAGCUCUCAAAAAACAAGAAAAUUCAGUGAAGAGACUGAUAGACUAGACCUAUUGGACAUUUUCAUAGUC
rnacentral:snRNA from 1 species